rnacentral:rRNA from 1 species
GCGUGAGUGAAGAAGGCCUUCGGGUUGUAAAACUCUUUCACCGGUGACGAUAAUGACGGUAGCCGGAGAAGAAGCCCCGGCUAACUCCGUGCCAGCAGCCGCGGUAAUACGGAGGGGGCUAGCGUUGUUCGGAAUUACUGGGCGUAAAGCGCGCGUAGGCGGCCUGGCAAGUUGGGCGUGAAAGCCCGGGGCUCAACCCCGGAUGUGCGUCCAAAACUGCCAAGCUAGAGGCCGAGAGAGGGUGGCGGAAUUCCCAGUGUAGAGGUGAAAUUCGU